GGCCGAUAAUAAGCAAUAAAUUGUAAAUUUAUGAAUGAAGUUAAUUUCUUUUACCA
rnacentral:tRNA from 1 species